GCCCUAUUUCUAGCCCAUAUAACCCCAUAUACCACUUCAUCACAAAAAAAUUAAGAUAAAACAUUUUAACUCUUUAGUAGAGGUGAUCAAAACUUAUCUUGGCGCUUUAGAGACAGUACCGCAAGGGAAUAUUGAAAUAAUAUGAAAUAAAAAAGCCUUGAAUAGCAGAGACAAUAUCUCGUACCUUUCGCAUUAUGGCCUAGCCAGUCCAACCAAGCAAGAUGAAAAUCUCAGUUUGCCCCCCCGAAACUAAGCGAGCUACUACAAAACAGCUUUAUGAGCCAACCCGUCUCUGUGGCAAUAGAGUGGGAAGAUUUUAUAGUAGAAGUGAUAAGCCUAUCGAGCUUAGAGAUAGCUGGUUAUUCAAGAAAAGAAUUUUAGUUCUGCCUUAAACCACCCCCCCGCUUCCAAACAGCCUGUAAGUUUAAGAGUAAUUCAAUUAGGGCACAGCCUAUUUGAAACAGGAUACAACCUAAAGAACAGGGUAAAAUUUAUAUACUAUAUAAAGUAGGCCUAAAAGCAGCCACCUAUAAAAAAGCGUUAAAGCUUAUUAUAACACACCACAGAUGCCAUUUUAUACCAUGAACCCGCCUCCAGUAUUGAAUAAUUUCAUAAAUUUAUGGAAGAGAUAAUGCUAGGACUAGUAACAAGAAUGUAAAAUUCUCCAAAAUAUAAGUAUAAACCAAGAUCAAUUAGUUACUGGUAUUUAACGAAAAUGAGUUCAAUGCAACAACCUAACAAGAAAACCCUGCAUUUCCCCCCGUUAAUCUUACACUAGAAUAUUUAUGGAAAGAUUAAAAGAGAAAGAAGGAACUCGGCAAUAUAUGACCCCGCCUGUUUACCAAAAACAUCGCCUCCUGCCUAUAAUAAGAGGUCCAGCCUGCCCAGUGAUAUUAUUCAACGGCCGCGGUACCCUAACCGUGCGAAGGUAGCAUAAUCACUUGUCCUCUAAAUAAGGACUUGUAUCAACGGCACCACGAGGGUUGCACUGUCUCCUCCCUCUAAUCAGUGAAACUGAUCUCCCCGUGAAGAAGCGGGGAUAAAACCAUAAGACGAGAAGACCCCAUGGAGCUUCAAACUGAACAGCAACUUAAUCACUUAUUUCCUCAUAAAAUAAAGGUAUGCCUGUAAGUUUUGGGUUGGGGCGACCGCGGAGAACAAAAUAACCUCCACAGCGAAAAGAACUAAACCUUUAUCCAAGAGCUACCCCUCAAAGAAUUAGCACCCUAACGGAUAAUGACCCGAUUAUCGAUCAACGAACCAAGUUACCCUGGGGAUAACAGCGCAAUCUACUCCAAGAGCCCCUAUCGACGAGUAGGCUUACGACCUCGAUGUUGGAUCAGGGUAUCCAAGUGGUGCAGCCG
rnacentral:rRNA from 1 species